GGAACGUAUUGUUAGACCAGGCGACUCCCAUCUUGUUCUGGAGGAGAAGAUGUCUGGACCCAUAGGACCCGCGGAACUGGAAUUUAUCCAGAUUUUGUCGACAUCCUUCUCCCCUGCAACCCAGCUCAUGGCAGCCCGGGAUGCUAUUGUGUAUAUCUCCCAGCUUCCAGAUGACAAAGAUGACACAGUAAUCAAAGCCAAGAGUGUCCCUCAGUCUCUAGGGGCCUUGAAGAAGGAGGACAGUGAGAUCUUCAGUGUACAGUUCCACACUGCCAAACAGCUGC